UUUUUGGGUAGAAACCUGAGUACCCAGUGGAAACCCAGUGUCACAUGGAAAACGUGCAAACUCCAUACAGACAGUACCAAAGGUCAGGAUAAAAUCCAGGU